GAUGGGAGCUGGCCCAAAUGGCUGCCACAGCAAGCUCUGCUGCUCAUGGGCCCUAUGUCCCCAGCCCUGGGACCUAGGGAUAAGUUUGGUUGCAGACAUUG